CCUAAUUCACGCGCUAGAAUGCUAAAUGGAAAAACUAUAAUUAAGAAACAAGUCCUAUCUGAGAUUUCACAAGUGUUAUACAGUAGGAUUUUAGUCUUUGGAGAUAUCCUAAUUUCUUAUUUCCCUUCGAGAUUAGCUUUAAUCUAUCAUAAAAAAUAACAAGUUGGGAUUAAAUUAUUCACAGCCAAAUAAUCCGAUUAAAAAAGAAGAGAGAGAGAGAGACACUGCACCCAAUUCUAACCCAACCAAUCCACACACAAGGACC
rnacentral:lncRNA from 1 species